GAUGGACCCGCGUCUGAUUAGCUAGUUGGUGGGGUAACGGCCUACCAAGGCGAUGAUCAGUAGCCGGUCUGAGAGGAUGAACGGCCACAUUGGGACUGAGACACGGCCCAGACUCCUACGGGAGGCAGCAGUGGGGAAUCUUCCGCAAUGGGCGAAAGCCUGACGGAGCAAUGCCGCGUGAGUGAUGAAGGAAUUCGUUCCGUAAAGCUCUUUUGUUUAUGACGAAUGUGCAGGUUGUGAAUAAUGACUUGUAAUGACGGUAGUAAACGAAUAAGCCACGGCUAACUACGUGCCAGCAGCCGCGGUAAUACGUAGGUGGCGAGCGUUGUCCGGAAUUAUUGGGCGUAAAGAGCAUGUAGGCGGUUUUUUAAGUCUGGAGUGAAAAUGCGGGGCUCAACCCCGUAUGGCUCUGGAUACUGGAAGACUUGAGUGCAGGAGAGGAAAGGGGAAUUCCCAGUGUAGCGGUGAAAUGCGUAGAUAUUGGGAGGAACACCAGUGGCGAAGGCGCCUUUCUGGACUGUGUCUGACGCUGAGAUGCGAAAGCCAGGGUAGCGAACGGGAUUAGAUACCCCGGUAGUCCUGG
rnacentral:rRNA from 1 species